CACGGCUGAUGAGUCCCAAACAGGACGAAACAGCUGUUCAGUGG
rnacentral:hammerhead_ribozyme from 1 species